rnacentral:rRNA from 1 species
UACGUAGGGUGCAAGCGUUAUCCGGAAUCACUGGGCGUAAAGCGUGCGUAGGCGGAAGCUUAAGUGUGAUGUUAAAUCGUGUGGCUCAACCAUAUCGAUGCAUCGCAUACUGGGUUUCUAGAGGACGGCAGAGGCAAGUGGAACUCGUAGUGUAGCAGUGAAAUGCGUAGAUAUUACGAAGAACACCAAUGGCGAAGGCAGCUUGCUGGGCCGCCCCUGACACUGAGACGCGAAGGCGUGGGGAGCGAACGGG